GCAGUCGAACGGUGACCUCGGAGCUUGCUCCGGGUGAUCAGUGGCGAACGGGUGAGUAACACGUGAGUAACCUGCCCCUUACUCUGGGAUAACUCCGGGAAACCGGUGCUAAUACUGGAUACGACCCGAGCGGGCAUCCGCAUCGGGUGGAAAGUUUUUCGGUAUGGGAUGGACUCGCGGCCUAUCAGCUUGUUGGUGGGGUAGUGGCCCACCAAGGCGACGACGGGUAGCCGGCCUGAGAGGGCGACCGGCCACACUGGGACUGAGACACGGCCCAGACUCCUACGGGAGGCAGCAGUGGGGAAUAUUGCACAAUGGGCGAAAGCCUGAUGCAGCGACGCCGCGUGAGGGAUGACGGCCUUCGGGUUGUAAACCUCUUUCAGCAGGGAAGAAGCUUUUUGUGACGGUACCUGCAGAAGAAGCACCGGCUAACUACGUGCCAGCAGCCGCGGUAAUACGUAGGGUGCGAGCGUUGUCCGGAAUUAUUGGGCGUAAAGAGCUUGUAGGCGGUUUGUCGCGUCUGCUGUGAAAACUCAGGGCUUAACCCUGAGCCUGCAGUGGGUACGGGCAGACUAGAGUAUGGUAGGGGAGACUGGAAUUCCUGGUGUAGCGGUGGAAUGCGCAGAUAUCAGGAGGAACACCGAUGGCGAAGGCAGGUCUCUGGGCCAUAACUGACGCUGAGAAGCGAAAGCAUGGGUAGCGAACAGGAUUAGAUACCCUGGUAGUCCAUGCCGUAAACGUUGGGCGCUAGGUGUGGGACUCAUUCCACGAGUUCCGUGCCGCAGCUAACGCAUUAAGCGCCCCGCCUGGGGAGUACGGCCGCAAGGCUAAAACUCAAAGGAAUUGACGGGGGCCCGCACAAGCGGCGGAGCAUGCGGAUUAAUUCGAUGCAACGCGAAGAACCUUACCAAGGCUUGACAUAUACCGGAAACACCCAGAGAUGGGUGCCCCGCAAGGUCGGUAUACAGGUGGUGCAGGGUCGUCGUCAGCUCGUGUCGUGAGAUGUUGGGUUAAGUCCUGCAACGAGCGCAACCCUCGUUCUAUGUUGCCAGC
rnacentral:rRNA from 1 species